GACGGACGCUGGCGGCGUGCUUAACACAUGCAAGUCGAACGAAGAGCGAUGGAAGCUUGCUUCUAUCAAUCUUAGUGGCGAACGGGUGAGUAACGCGUAAUCAACCUGCCCUUCAGAGGGGGACAACAGUUGGAAACGACUGCUAAUACCGCAUACGAUCUGACCUCGGCAUCGAGGAUAGAUGAAAGGUGGCCUCUACAUGUAAGCUAUCACUGAAGGAGGGGAUUGCGUCUGAUUAGCUAGUUGGAGGGGUAACGGCCCACCAAGGCGAUGAUCAGUAGCCGGUCUGAGAGGAUGAACGGCCACAUUGGGACUGAGACACGGCCCAGACUCCUACGGGAGGCAGCAGUGGGGAAUCUUCCGCAAUGGACGAAAGUCUGACGGAGCAACGCCGCGUGAGUGAUGACGGCCUUCGGGUUGUAAAGCUCUGUUAAUCGGGACGAAAGGCCUUUUUGCGAAUAGUGAGAAGGAUUGACGGUACCGGAAUAGAAAGCCACGGCUAACUACGUG
rnacentral:rRNA from 1 species